UACGAAGGGUGCAAGCGUUACUCGGAAUCACUGGGCGUAAAGCGUGCGUAGGCGGUUCGUUAAGUCUGCUGUGAAAUCUCCAGGCUCAACCUGGAGGGGUCAUUCGAUACUGCCGUGACUAGAGUUCGGUAGGGGAGUGUGGAAUUCCUGGUGGAGCGGUGAAAUGCGCAGAUAUCAGGAGGAACACCCGUAGCGAAGGCGGCACUCUGGGCCGAUACUGACACUGAGGAGCGAAAGCGUGGGGAGCGAACAGG
rnacentral:rRNA from 1 species